UGAGAACCUGCCUUAAGGUCGGGGAUAACAGUUGGAAACGACUGCUAAUACCGGAUGUGCCUACGGGUGAAAGAUUUAUUGCCUAAAGAUGGGCUCGCGUCUGAUUAGCUAGUUGGAGUGGUAAUGGCACACCAAGGCGACGAUCAGUAGCUGGUCUGAGAGGAUGAUCAGCCACACUGGGACUGAGACACGGCCCAGACUCCUACGGGAGGCAGCAGUGGGGAAUUUUCCGCAAUGGGCGAAAGCCUGACGGAGCAAGACCGCGUGAGGGAGGAAGGCUCUUGGGUUGUAAACCUCUUUUGUCAGGGAAGAACACAAUGACGGUACCUGACGAAUCAGCAUCGGCUAACUCCGUGCCAGCAGCCGCGGUAAUACGGAGGAUGCAAGCGUUAUCCGGAAUUAUUGGGCGUAAAGCGUCCGCAGGUGGUUGUACAAGUCUGCUGUCAAAGCGCGGAGCUUAACUCCGUAAAGGCGGUGGAAACUGUGCGACUAGAGUUCGGUAGGGGUCGCGGGAAUUCCCAGUGUAGCGGUGAAAUGCGUAGAUAUUGGGAAGAACACCGGUGGCGAAAGCGCGCGACUGGACCGAGACUGACACUCAUGGACGAAAGCUAGGGGAGCGAAAGGGAUUAGAUACCCCUGUAGUCCUAGCCGUA
rnacentral:rRNA from 1 species